UACGUAGGGCGCAAGCGUUGUCCGGAAUUAUUGGGCGUAAAGAGCUCGUAGGUGGCGUGUCGCGUCUGCCGUGAAAGCCCAUGGCUUAACUGUGGGUCUGCGGUGGAUACGGGCAGGCUGGAGGCUGGUAGGGGCAAGCGGAAUUCCUGGUGUAGCGGUGAAAUGCGCAGAUAUCAGGAGGAACACCGGUGGCGAAGGCGGCUUGCUGGGCCAGUUCUGACGCUGAGGCACGAAAGCGUGGGUAGCAAACAGG
rnacentral:rRNA from 1 species